AUUGAACGCUGGCGGCAGGCCUAACACAUGCAAGUCGAGCGGAUGAAGGGAGCUUGCUCUCUGAUUCAGCGGCGGACGGGUGAGUAAUGCCUAGGAAUCUGCCUGGUAGUGGGGGACAACGUUUCGAAAGGAACGCUAAUACCGCAUACGUCCUACGGGAGAAAGCAGGGGGACCUUCGGGCCUUGCGCUAUCAGAUGAGCCUAGGUCGGAUUAGCUAGUUGGUGAGGUAAUGGCUCACCAAGGCGACGAUCCGUAACUGGUCUGAGAGGAUGAUCAGUCACACUGGAACUGAGACACGGUCCAGACUCCUACGGGAGGCAGCAGUGGGGAAUAUUGGACAAUGGGCGAAAGCCUGAUCCAGCCAUGCCGCGUGUGUGAAGAAGGUCUUCGGAUUGUAAAGCACUUUAAGUUGGGAGGAAGGGUUGUAGAUUAAUACUCUGCAAUUUUGACGUUACCGACAGAAUAAGCACCGGCUAACUCUGUG
rnacentral:rRNA from 1 species